rnacentral:rRNA from 1 species
CGGGGUGCACCAGGCGCGAAAACUUUACAAUGCUGGCAACAGCGAUAAGGGGACCUCGAGUGCCAGGAUACAAUCUUGGCUGUCGUGAUGCCUAAAAAGCAUUACAUAGCAAGGGCCGGGCAAGACCGGUGCCAGCCGCCGCGGUAACACCGGCGGCUCGAGUGGUAACCGCUAUUAUUGGGUCUAAAGGGUCUGUAGCCGGCCGGAUAAGUCUCUUGGGAAAUCCAGCAGCUCAACUGUUGGGCUUCCAGGGGAUACUGUUCGGCUCGAGGCCGGGAGAGGUGAGAGGUACUUCAGGGGUAGGGGUGAAAUCUUGUAAUCCUUGAAGGACCACCAGUGGCGAAGGCGUCUCACCAGAACGGUCCUGACGGCAAGGGACGAAAGCUAGGGGCACGAACCGGAUUAGAUACCCGGGUAGUCCUAGCCGUAAACGAUACUCGCUAGGUGUCAGCCACGGUGCGACCGUGGUUGGUGCCGUAGGGAAGCCGUGAAGCGAGCCACCUGGGAAGUACGGCCGCAAGGCUGAAACUUAAAGGAAUUGGCGGGGGAGCACAAGGGCGAAUUGCG